UAAGGAAUAUUGGUCAAUGGACGCAAGUCUGAACCAGCCAUGCCGCGUGAAGGAUGAAGGUCCUCUGGAUUGUAAACUUCUUUUAUCUGGGACGAAAACGGGAUUUUUAUCUCAAUUGACGGUACCAGAGGAAUAAGCACCGGCUAACUCCGUGCCCGCAGCCGCGGUAAUACGGAGGGGCCGAGCGUUAUCCGGAUUUACUGAGUUUAAAGGGUGCGUAGGUGGGCUUAUAAGUCAGUGGUGAAAUCUCCGAGCUUAACUUGGAAACUGCCGUUGAUACUAUAGGUCUUGAAUUAUCUGGAGGUAAGCGGAAUAUGUCAUGUAGCGGUGAAAUGCUUAGAGAUGACAUAGAACACCAAUUGCGAAGGCAGCUUACUACAUAUAAAUUGCCGCUGAGGCACGAAAGCGUGGGGAUCAAACA
rnacentral:rRNA from 1 species